UCUUACUUUUACUUAAGAUUUUGAAUGCAGGACUUUUACUUGUAACAGAGUAUUUUAACACUGCAGUACUGCUACUUUCACUGAAGUAAAAUAUCCGAAUACUUCUUCCACCACUGGAGACAACAAGUUUAUAACAGAAGUGUAAAAGACUUGGGGGGGGGGGUUAACACCCCUUGUAAAUCUAGUCUUUGCUGACCUCCAGUGGUUUAACUUCUCACCUUGCUGCAGGCCCCCAGGCCCCGUGACAUCACUGUGGGGUGUGGUUACAGGUGCAACCGAGCACACUUCUGAAAACACCUGUCGGUGGUGCUGCGUGCGCUCAGAGGGGAAACGGGCUGGAAGCACUGCUGUCCUUUAAAUCUCUGCCAGCUGGUGAUCAAACUGCGGCAGGUGGAGGAGACGCUGUGCUAAACUUUGACUUUUCUAUGUGUACAUGUGGUAUUUUGUCUACAUGCCCCCACAGUGCUGACGUCAUGCGGCAACUUUGGAGUGCCACCUGAGAAAAUGCCCUGAUGGCUGUCCGCUUGGACUUGCAGACUACAGAUUUAUAACAGAAAGUCUGUGUUACAAACUGGAGUGCUGCUGGGAGGCGUCGACAUCACCGCAGGCAACUGAGCAAGAGCCAAUGAAAAGCAGCCUCCAGCUACACAAAGACACAUUCACACACAGCUAAACAAAAACAGAGUUUUUAUCUGUUUUUCCACAACAAAGACAGGGACUUUAAUACACUUGUUUUCUAAAAUACGGUCCAAACUAAACCUGGAGAAGCAGCUUUCAGUUUUUCUGCUCCACAUAUCUGAAACCAACUGUUCUUUUAAAUCAGAGCUUCAGACUUCUCUUACUAUUUAUUCUUAUCUCACACUGCACUGUAAUGUUUAUUCUGUUUGAUUUGUUUUAUUGUAUUUUUGUAUUUUUAUGUUGUCUUCUCAUAUUUCCUUGUUUCUUUUAUAUAUUUUCCUUUCUGUUGAAUGAAACGCACUUUGAAUUGUCUUGUUGUUGAAAGGCGUCUGUUCUAACUGAUGUGUCCUAGCUUAUUUCUCAUUGGGAGUAAUGAAGUACUCUAACUUUACUUCCCUCCAAUUCAUUCCCGUUCACAGUCCUGUAAGCUGAGGACUGAUAGGACUGUGGUUGUUCUGCACUUUAUGCAACUAAAAUAACGUCAUUUCUCAGUGAUUGUAACUGUGGAAGAUAGACUGAUAUGUAGAACUGGGACAGUUAGAAACAUGAGGCUUAAAAUACAUCUGUGCAUGUUUGUCUCUCUCAUUGGGAUUUUCUGUGGCUCAAUAAAGAAUCACAACAUGA